rnacentral:lncRNA from 1 species
GAAAGAACAAGAAAAUGGAGAACAUUUUCUUUUUUUUUUGUUGCAAGAAUUAAUUUUAUUAUUAUCUUCAAAACAAGAGAAAAAAAUAAAAUAAAAAAAUGUCCCUCCGGUUCAGUUCAUUCAGCUGGUAGUUUAAAUUAAAUAGAGGUCAUUGCAAAAACUAAAAAUAAAAUUUAAAUUAAAAUAAAAAGGAACAAAUUUGAUGAAUCUUCACAGUGCACGGAACCUUUUAAACCCAAGACAUGGACCUUUAACACCCUCCAGUGUCUCUACCCCCGUCCGCGCUCAACGAACAACAAUAUUCACAUAUUGUCAGAAUUGUGUAAAUAUAAUUCAGGUAUCAUAAGACACAACUACCACUAAGGGGCUGAACAAUUCUGGUAACUUUACAACAACAACAAAAAUAAAAAAAAAAAUAAAAAAUCACAGAUUCCUGAAAUCAAGAAGGAAAUCUGUGAAUCCUACAACCUGGGAUUUCUGGGAAAUCUGGUGAAUUUUAGGGGGGGGGGGGGGGAAGUAAUUUUGCAAAACAUAGGCCAACAACUACCUCUAGGUCACUCUUGCUCAGUCUGCUUACAGCAGAGUAACAGUCAUUUACAUCUCGAUAGUGCUUUUUUCCCUCCUCCUCCUCCUACACGUUUUCACUCUAGAGAAUACAUAUCUGAUAUGAAAGAUGGUAUAUUGUGUGUGUCCAUAAUAGUUCACUAUUCUUGUAUAUAGUCCACAACAUCGGGAACUGGUUGCUAUUUGGGAUGCAUCCCAGGUCGUAGAAACUCUUCAAAAAUAACCUGGGGUGGGGGACAGGACGGUGGGGGACAGGGACAAAUCAAGGUUUUAGCAAUUACACAUUUUUUUUUUAAACACAAAAAAAAUAAUUAAAAAUCAAAGCAUUAUUCAAGUAAAUUGACUCGUCCAAGCAACAGCCUAUGUUGAGCAGAGUCUAAAAAAAAUUAAUAUUUUAUACAUCAGCCUUAAAUUCAUUAAAUUAAUUCAAAUCCUCAGCAAAAAAAAUAAAAAAUAACAAAACCCCCCAAACAAAGUGUUGAACUAAAGUGAACAAGCUUGCAGAGUCCUCUUAUGGUCUUCACUACGGGGUCCCGUCACAAAUGACACCCACAUUCCCUACAUAGUGCCCUAUUAUUAUAGGGAAUAUGGGCCCUCGUCAAAAGUAGUGCCCUAUAUAGGGAAUAGGAUGGUAUUUGGAAUGCAGAGGCUGUGUGACGCCUCUUUGAGACCUUUACAGUUCACUGACAGGAGGCUCGGAAGGAAACCAAAUAUCUUUCCUCCGAAAUGGCGCCCAAUUCCCUUCUUAGUGCACUAGGUUUGGGCCACGAGCCUUAAAGUCGUGCACUAGUUAGGGAAUAAGGUUUGGGCCACGAGCCUUGGGCUGAAACGUGUGGAAAAAAACGCUUCACGACGAAAUGUCUCAUAAGGCUACGCUAGACAUUUGGUCUUCGCCUCUUCUCUCCUCCUCCUCUUCUCUCUCUCUGUUAUUGUCCUUGUUCUUCUUCUUCUUGUGUUUGUGUUUCAGUCCUGCGAUCUCUCCCUCCUCAGCCUCCAGUCUCUUCUGCUUUCUGUCUUUCUUCUGUUUCUUCUUCUCUUUCUUCUUCUCUUUUUUAUCUUUCUUCUUCUUCUUGUCUUUCUUGUUGCCCAGGCUACCGACAGAGCUGGCGCUGCUGCUACGACUUCUGCUGCUGCCCCCAUGCACCGCUGGCUCUCCCUCCACCGCUCGCUGUCCGCCCACUUUUUUCUCUCCUUCCUCCUCCUCCCCCUCUGAGAUCUCUCCCUCGCUGUAGUCCGGUUCGAAGGCUGCCUCAUCUGUCUCUCUGACCAGGUCAGAAGGAGGUCUAGAAGAAGGGACCGAGGGAGGAGGUCUGGCUUUAGGGUGCUCUGUCUCUCUCUCCUUCUCCCUAUCCACCCCUUUCUCUCUCUCCUUCUCCCUAUCCACCCCUUUCUCUCUCUCCUUCUCCCUAUCCACCCCCUUCUCUCUCUCCUUCUCCCUAUCCACCCCUUUCUCUCUCUCCUUCUCCCUAUCCACCCCUUUCUCUCUCUCCUUCUCCCUAUCCACCCCCUUCUCUCUCUCCUUCUCCCUAUCCACCCCCUUCUCUCUCUCCUUCUCCCUAUCCACCCCUUUCUCUCUCUCCUUCUCCCUAUCCACCCCUUUCUCCUUCUCCCUAGCCACCCCUUUCUCUCUCUCCUUCUCCCUAUCCACCCCCUUCUCUCUCUCCUUCUCCCUAUCCACCCCUUUCUCUCUCUCCUUCUCCAUCUUCUCCCUCAUCUUUUGUAUCUGCCACUCUCUCUCUUUCUUUCUCUCUCUCUCUCUGACAGCUCGGGGCACCCCUGCCCUGUUGUCAGUCCUGGGGGCUGUAGGAGUGAGGCCGGGUGUUGUUGGGGCUUUCCACCACUCGUCUCCUUCUCUAGGGUUCCUAGGCUGGCCUGCUGGCUCUGUCUCCCCGCCGAGAAGCUCUCUGCUCUGGGCUCUUCUCCCUCAGCCUUUCCCCUCCCGGGCUGGUUCUCCAUGGAGCCGUAUAUAUCCUGCGUCGUGUCCCUGCCAGGGCUGCUCUCGCUGGGUCUGGUGGGCUCAGACCCUCCCUGAGAUCUCUGAGUGGAGGAGGAGGAGGAAGAGGAAGGGUCAGAUGGGGGUUGGUCGCUCUUGGAGACGGGCGAGGCACCGCCUAGCUCCCCGGUGGUCUCCCGGUGGUCUCCCGGUGGUCUACGGUCAGUAGAGUCGGUGUUACGGCCAACGGUGGAUGAGAUCUGGUCGUUGUUGUCUUCAUGUUUGUGGUGGAGGUGGUCUCUGUGCUCCCUGGCUCUGGGGUCCGGUGGUCUACGGUCAGAAGUUGCUUUGUGGUCCCUGGAAGAAGAUAAAGGUUUACGAUCCCGUGAGUGAGAGUGUGAGGAGGAAGACGAGCUCUUCUCACUGCUGUGGUCGCUCCCUCUCUCUCCAGUCCUCUCUCCUUCUCUCCUCUCUCGCUCCGGCCGCUGAGACGAGCUCUUCUCACUGCUGUGGUCGCUCCCUCUCUCUCCAGUCCUCUCUCCUUCUCUCCUCUCUCGCUCCGGCCGCUGAGACGAGCUCUUCUCACUGCUGUGGUCGCUUCCUCUCUCUCCAGUCCUCUCUCCUUCUCUCCUCUCUCGCUCCGGCCGCUGAGACGAGCUCUUCUCACUGCUGUGGUCGCUCCCUCUAUCCCCAGUCCUCUCUCCUUCUCUCCUCUCUCGCUCCGGCCGCUGAGACGAGCUCUUCUCACUGCUGUGGUCGCUCCCUCUAUCCCCAGUCCUCUCUCCUUCUCUCCUCUCUCGCUCCGGCCGCUGAGACGAGCUCUUCUCACUGCUGUGGUCGCUCCCUCUCUCUCCAGUCCUCUCUCCUUCUCUCUCUCUCCUCUCCCUCUCCGGACGCUGAGACGAGCUCUUCUCACUGCUGUGGUCGCUCCCUCUAUCCCCAGUCCUCUCUCCUUCUCUCCUCUCUCGCUCCGGCCGCUGAGACGAGCUCUUCUCACUGCUGUGGUCGCUUCCUCUCUCCCCAGUCCUCUCCCCAGUCCUCUCUCCUCUCUCCCUCCUCUCUCGCUCCGGCCGCUGAGACGAGCUCUUCUCACUGCUGUGGUCGCUCCCUCUCUCCCCAGUCCUCUCUCCUUCUCUCUCUCUCCUCUCUCGCUCCGGACGCUGAGAGGAAGAGAGAACCUUUCUCGGUCUGUCCA